GACGAGGAGGAGGAGGCGCUCUGCCCCAUCUGCCUCGACGUCAUGGAGCCGGGCCACGCCGUGCGCGUCCUCCCCAGCUGCAACCGCGCCUUCCACCAGGACUGCGUCGAUCGGUGGUUGGCCAUCUCGCCUGGGUGGUCGCCCUACUCAGCCGCUCGGGCCGCACGGUCGAGCUCGUCCGGCAGGACAGCGCCAUGUCCGCCUCCUGCAGGACCAUGGUGCGCGCGCUCUCGCGCUUGCCUGUGCGUGGCCAAGGAGGACGGCGGCGAGUUCGCGUGCAAGUCCAUCCCCAACCGCAAGCGGCUGGCGCGAGUUGGUGCGGCCGCGCGUGCUGCUCUGUUGCUGCCGGUGCUCAUCAAGGCGGGCGAGCGACGGGGCACGGCGAGUCGCGCGAGAUGGCGAGGACUGCGGCGGGAUCAUCGUGGCGUCUUCCUCGCCUCGCCGUCGAGCUAG
rnacentral:rRNA from 1 species